rnacentral:misc_RNA from 1 species
AACCAAAAUUUCACUUCAGUUCAAAAUUUUGAUGAAUACUUGUUCUAGUUACAUUGAUUGACAAUUUAACCACACUGUCUUUGUAAGAGGAAAUCCUGGAGCUUAAAAAAAGAAUGAAGCGAGAUCUUAUAUACAGACAAUGUACUGAUGUUAUUAUAGAGUUAUUACUCUUGGCUUAUCUUCUCUUGUUGUACUAAAAUUUAAGAUAUACUAACUCCUUAUGCCUCUUGGUUUCAGCAUACCGAAAACUUGCUAGGAG